UAGAAAAUUGUUAGGGUCAAAGGGCAUAAUCCAAAGAGUUUGGAAAAAUGCUUUCAAAGUUAGUAAAUAGUCCUUUUUCUCUACCCAGAACCUUUUGUGGGUUCUGUUAGUAAACUUCACCUUGAGCCAGAAGAUACUGUGAGUUAUUUCCCAGGUCUUACUUGAGGAAGAUUUUUGGUGAUAAAUUGCCCACGUUAUGACUGACUACUUCAGAGUUUGGUUACUUUUGAACUUACUCUUGCUGGCCUACUUUCAGAUGAAUACAUAGCAUCUACAUUAAAUCAUUAGUUUUCUUUCAGACAAAUGACCAUUGCAAGUUUAAUAAAACAAAUUUAAUUCAAAUAAUAUAAGAAAAUGAAGAUUUAAGAUAUUCUUAAAUAUUGUUUCUCUUUCAGAAUGGCCAUCUUAACUCUAGAAGAAUACCAGAUCUGGAGUGUGAAAAAUGUUCUUGCCAAUGAGUUUUUGAAUCUACUUUUCCAGAAAUUGACAAGCUGAUUCUAAAUACAUAGAGAAGCUUGAAGAGCCAACAAUAGCCAAGAUGAUAUUAAAGAACAAUGUUAAAGAACUUACUAUAAAACAAUAUUAAGACUAUGUGAUAACUACCUAAAGUUAGACAUAUAGACCAAUGGAACAGUAUUGAAUUAAACCCUGUACCAUACAUGAACAGUAAUUUUAGAUAGAUUAUAAAUCUAAUAAAUU